UCACAGUGAAUCAGCCACAGGACAGAGAUCUUUCCACCUUGCUCUGCCGCGGCUUCAACUCUCGGGGAUCAUCCAGUCAUCAGUUUUGUGUCAACAGUCUUCAGUCUUCAGAAAGUCUAGAUGGCGUGUUGUUGCCAAUUUUCAUCAGCACAUGUGCUGUUUUAUUAGUAGCGUGCCUUCUGCUGUUUGUGGCAAGGGCUCUGAACAAACACUGUAAUCUUACAAGUAAAACCAACA